GUAGGGUCCAAGCGUUAAUCGGAAUUACUGGGGCGUAAAGCGUGCGCAGGCGGUUGUGCAAGACCGAUGUGAAAUCCCCCGGGGCUUUAACCUGGGAAUUGCAUUGGUGACUGCACGGCUAGAGUGUGUCAGAGGGGGGUAGAAUUCCACGUGUAGCAGUGAAAUGCGUAGAGAUGUGGAGGAAUACCGAUGGCGAAGGCAGCCCCCUGGGAUAACACUGACGCUCAUGCACGAAAGCGUGGGGAGCAAACAGGAUUAGAUACCCUGGUAGUCCACGCCCUAAACGAUGUCAACUAGUUGUUGGGGAUUCAUUUCCUUAGUAACGUAGCUAACGCGUGAAGUUGACCGCCUGGGGAGUACGGUCGCAAGAUUA
rnacentral:rRNA from 1 species